rnacentral:rRNA from 1 species
AUCUACAGCCAUACCACUCUGAAUGUGCCCAAUCUCAUCUGAUCUAGGACGAUAAGCAGGGCUGAACCCGGUUAGUCCCUUGACAGCAGAAA